GUGGGAUGAUCUUUCUUAACUCCUACGAAUGGGUCAAAAACAGAUACAACCCCAUUUCCCAAAAGAUGUUGUAAUAGGUGUUAUUAAGGAAACAGAAGUCAAAAGCUGCAGUUUUCAAGUGCGAUUAAGACAGGAGGUCACUUCUGGACUACUUGUUUAAUGAGAUUUCAGCCUCAUUUGUUUGCAGAGAGAUUAUGUUGGCUAUUUAAUGAGCAUUCAUCCUGAUUUAUUUGUGGGGAGGCUAGAUGGCAUUGCAUCAAAGCAAGUGUUAUCCCACUGUUGCAUCACCUUAACAGAAAAAAAUACAAUCUUUGCUUAAACUGUGAUCCAACUAUGUUCAAGCUGUACGUUUGUAAAUAAGCUCAAAUAUUACAAAUGCCAAUAGCUCCCAGUGACAUGCUUCCACAGAAAAUCAAUCAGGGAAGUGAUACUAGAGGAACGUUUCCACUCAGAAAAUGAGUGGGUGGUAAGUAUUUCACUGUUUAGAGCGAAGCUCAUACUAAAAGUUUGUAGUUUUAAGAUUUUGCCUGAACUGGUGGGAAAAAGUUGUUCUUAAGCCUCUGGCAGUGCUGCAGCCUUCCCACUUCUAAACAUCAGGAACCAUGUCUGUGUUUGUUUGUUUGCUUACUCACUCAAUUUAGCAUGCAAGGUUUUCUGUAACCAAGUUAUUUCAUAAAACAUAGUCCUCUGCUACAUAAUGAAUUGUCUAGAACCUCCUUCCACAACCUAAAAAGAAACAAGUAAUGUCAUCAGCCUGGUAGCUGAAUACUACCCACAUUUUGAUUUUGUCAGUGUAUAAUAGGUAUGAUAUAUUUUUAAGUGGGUUCAUGUAUAAGAAGGAAUUUGCUAUCCUCUUGAGAAGUUGUCCUAGCAUACAAUUCAAAAUGUAUUGAUACAACUCUCUAGUGCCAAUGUACUUCCUCAUUAAUACAAAAUGGCAAUCACUUAUUUGAAGUGCAAUCUCAUCCUGUUUCAGUAUGGCUGCAUCUAUACUAUAUGUUUAAAGCAGUAUCAUACCACUUUAAACACUUAUGGCUUUCCCCCAAAGAAUCCUGGAAACUGUAAUUUGUUAACGGAACUGAGAGUUGUUAGGAGACCCAAUUCCCCUCACAGAGCUACAAUCCCUGGAGUUCCCUGUGAAGAGACAUCGAUUGUUAAACCCCUUUAAGAACUGAAGAUCUUUGAGGAGAAUGAGGGUGGUUUAUCUUGUCUGGCUGUGUGUAAGAAUAGAAGGCAAAGUCAGAGAAGAAGUUCCAUUGCACAAGAAUAAGAACGAGACCACACCUUGGGUAGAAGCAUAAAGUUUCACUUUGGAGGUGUAGCAAUAGGGUUUGUGUCUAGUCCAGCACUCUUGUCUGUGCUCAUCCCCUGUCCUGUCCUGCCCUGCCCUGCCUUGCAAAUUGCAGCAGCAUUGAGAAAACUGCCAUCCUGGAAAAAGAAAUUACAGGACUACAGUGGGAAUCAAAGUUGGCACAUGGGAAUGUACAGCAAUGGUUGGGAGGGUUGGUGGGACAAAAGACCCUAUUUGAACUUUUGGUGGCCAUUAGUUCUUUAUCCCAGAGUUCAGAGACGGUGAACUAAUCAAGUGAAUGAUGUGGUUGUACACAUGAGUUUGGACUUUUCCUUGAUCUUCAAACACAAAUUCCUUAUGACUCAGCUUUCACUUUUACUAAGUCUGACUUAUCUGUGGUUCUCUCGGUCUCCAGGUGCUGUGCUUGCUUCCCGCGCCGUCCUUAUUGCCCACAGGCAAUGAGGAUCCCACUGCAUGUUCUAAUUCCAUUGAUGAGAUGUCAAGAAACUACCCCAAAAGAUCAUACAUCUUUUGGAGUGACCACACUACAGGAGAAAUAGUAUAUGAGCAAGUCAGUCACAGACUGGAAGCUAUUCACUCAAAUUCUUUCCAGCACUGGGGUUUCCCGCAAACCACCAGGAUACAGACUACAGCAAAUCUUUUCUUACUAAGGUUAGCCUGUCAUCUUGUAAAGUGAAUAUACUGAAUUUUAUGGAGAUGGCUAUGUUAUAAUAAUAAAAAAUUAAAUUUUAU
rnacentral:lncRNA from 1 species